rfam:Trichosporon asahii var. asahii CBS 8904 unplaced genomic scaffold scaffold00167, whole genome shotgun sequence.
GGCGUUGUGGCGGAGUGGUUAACGCGGUUGACUCGAAUGGUCUCGAUCUCUCAAGAGCUCGAGGGAUUCUGAUAUCAACUUCCUUCGGGAGCGCAUGUUCGAAUCAUGUCAACGUCG